rnacentral:rRNA from 1 species
AUUGAACGCUGGCGGCAUGCUUUACACAUGCAAGUCGAACGGUAACAGGCCGCAAGGUGCUGACGAGUGGCGAACGGGUGAGUAAUGUAUCGGAACGUGCCCAGUCGUGGGGGAUAACGCAGCGAAAGCUGUGCUAAUACCGCAUACGAUCUAUGGAUGAAAGCGGGGGACCGUAAGGCCUCGCGCGAUUGGAGCGGCCGAUAUCAGAUUAGGUAGUUGGUGGGGUAAAGGCUCACCAAGCCGACGAUCUGUAGCUGGUCUGAGAGGACGACCAGCCACACUGGGACUGAGACACGGCCCAGACUCCUACGGGAGGCAGCAGUGGGGAAUUUUGGACAAUGGGCGCAAGCCUGAUCCAGCAAUGCCGCGUGCAGGACGAAGGCCUUCGGGUUGUAAACUGCUUUUGUACGGAGCGAAACGGCCCUCUCUAAUAAAGAGGGCUAAUGACGGUACCGUAAGAAUAAGCACCGGCUAACUACGUGCCAGCCGCCGCGGUAA